CACCAUUCUUCAAACUUCCGAACUCAUUAUUGCUACGGUAAAUACUCGGGUCAAAGCCACCGUAAAGGGACGAUUCAGACAUGCCAUAAUUACCUCCACCUAGGUUGGACAUUGAAUAGCUAGUUUCUCCAACCGUAGGAUAAAUGUAAUGGGCAGUUGGAUCCAUCAUACCAGUGUAAUUAUUUCCAUAAUCAUUACAGUUUCUUCCGGUCGGUAUAGCAUAUCUAUCGUUGUCUAUUCCGAGACCAGUACCACUAGAACUAGCACCAUUGAUAUCCAUACGCAUCCGUUUAUUUGGCGGUUGUUGCGCAAGUGGUGGUUGUCUUUGUUGUAUUGGUUGAUGUGCCUGUUGCGGUUGUUGCGUCUGCUGUGAUAGAGAGUUAUUUGAUCUCUCUCUUUCUGACUCUCGAUACUUCUCCAGAUAAAUCUAAUGGAACAAAAUACAUUCGAAAAGAGAUUUAAUAAUUAAGAUAAUGUCUGAUAGUUUGUGAAAUAUUGUGUUAAUUGUGAUCAAACGAGAUGAACCUUUAGAGGAAUAGUAUAUGAAUCAAAGUCGAGGCGGUACAUGGACCAAAGAAGGUCAUCGCCGUUGAUAGUUUUACGUUUCUCACUGUGACACUUUUCAGACGCUUCGCCGGUGAUAAAACUAACAAACUCCGAUACACAUUCUUGAAUCGUUUCUUUGGCUUCUUUCGAGAUCUUGGCAUUUAUCGGUAAAGCUCUCUUCAUGAUCCGGCUCACAUUUGCUAUUGGAAGAAAUCGAUCACUUCGGGAUGCAUCCCUUCCGGGAUUACUAUUAGAUGAACUCCCGACCAUUGGAUUAUUGGUUGCAAGCUUCCUUCAAUUCAGUUGUUCACGCCUUCAGAUGUUCCUCUGACAUGGUUUGUGAAAAGAAUUUAUAAGAAUGUUUAAACCUAUUCCCAAAAUUCUUGUCCACCCAUAAAAUAGAAAUUUCAAUGUCCUGUCCACCAAUAGAUUUUUUUUUAGCUAUCAAUAGUUUUCUUUAACUAUCAACCACCUAAUUUUGAUGCAAUAUAGAUAUUAUUGACUAAUAAUCCAAAUUAUGUACUUUGUCGACACUAAGGUGUCAAACGAGCUGAGCUUUGGCUUAUUGAGCUAGGCUCGGGCUCAGCUCGUUAAGGAGUAAUCCAGGCUCGAGCUCGGGCUCGGCUCGUUAAUGAUUUGCCGAUACCGAGCCCUUGCCGAAGUCAUCGAGUCAAGAUUUAUUUGACACCCUAGUCGACGCUAAUCGUUUUGUCCAAUGUCUAUUACGAAAUUCGGUCAUAUUUUCCGAAGCGGGUAUCGUGGCAAGACAUUCUCGAGUUUGGCCCAGUCUUCAUAGACCGAGACUCACUCGAAACUCGAAAUUUUCUAUGAAAAAUCCGUCUUAAAAUAUAAAUGAAAUUAAUUUAACCAAUUACUCUCUAAUUAAUUUAAAUUCAUCAAUUAACCCAUUUUUAAUUUAUCUAAUUUACCUCUGUUUAUUUUUUAGGGCAGGUUUCCUAUACUGAUUAAAAAAUAAAAUUUUGGAUGACCAAUUCAUAUUGAUUAUAAAAACUAGCUUAUAAAAAUUCAAUACAUUCACUCCAUACAAUAAUUAAUAUUCAAUACAUUAAUUAAUAUUCAAAUUAAAAAUAAACACAUUUAUUUAAUUAACAAUAAAAAUUUCAAGAAAAUUAAUGAUUAUUUCAAUAUCCUAUGACGAGGACACAUAUCAUUAAAUAUUUUUAAAAUGACUUCAUUGUCUAUAUUUUUAAAAACAGUUUUUUGAAUAUAUGUUAAUAAACAAUCAUUCAUCAAACUAUCACCAAAUUUAUAUAUUAAAUUUAUUUUAAUAUAUAAAAUAUAAAAUAUAAAAUAUUUUAAUAUAUUAAAUAUUGAGAGUGGUAGAGGGAGUGGGGAAGAGAAUAUAUUAAAUAUUGUGAAAUUUUGUAUAUUAACCCUUGAAAAAUAUUAAUAUAUUGUGAAAAUUGCAUUUAACUCCUUAUAAAAAAAUUAUUACAUACAGGUCCUUAUUUUUUCCCCCAAAAUUCAAAGGGGGUAAUUAUCCUCUCUUGCAGCCCCUAGCUACGCCACUGCGCACCGACAGUGGAUCUGAAAAUUAUCGUAUUUUUUUAUACCAUUUCCUUAAUAUCAUUUGUUUUAACCUAGUCACCCAAUCCAUUGAUCCAAUUUGAGUACCUUCUAGCUAUAUAAGCCUGUAAAUUUUUUAAAAUUUAAUAUCUGAUAUUUAUGAAAUUACAGAAAAAUAAUGAAAAAUUUAAUAAUUAAAACAUAAAUUAUCCUAAAAUAUAAAUGAAGGAUAACCUAAAUCUAUUGAUCUUGAAAGCUCAAUAUAUUAUUCUUAUUCGAUUCAUCUUACAUAUAUAUAUAUUCAUUAAUUACUUUCCCGGUGAUGGUGGUUGUGGUGGUUUCAUUGUCGGUAAUGUAUCAGAAUAGAGAUAAUUUUGAUAUAUCGCCCUACUGAUAUCACCUCCCAUACCUUCAUUUUUAUUUGCUUCAUCUAUCUUACUAGAGAACAUCGCCAUUAAAUCACCUGCUUCUUCAGUCCUGCUAUCACAUCUUUCCUGCAUUGUUGGAAACCUCUCGCUACCAUUCUUCAAACUUCCGAACUCAUUAUUGCUACGGUAAAUGCUCGGGUCAAGGCCAGCGUAAAGGAACGAUUCAGACAUGCCAUAAUUACCUCCACCUAGGUUGGAAAUUGAAUAGCUAGUUUCUCCAACCGUAGGAUAAAUGUAAUGGCCAGUUGGAUCCAUCAUACCAGUGUAAUCAUUUCCAUAACCAUUACAGUUUCUUCCAAUCGGUAUAGUAUAUCUAUCGUUGUCUAUUCCGAGACCAGUACCACUAGAACUAGCACAAUUGAUAUCCAUACACAUCCGUUUAAUUGGUGGUUGUUGCGUAAGUGGGGGUUGUCUUUGUUGUUGUGGUUGAUGUGCCUGUUGCAAUUGUUGCGUCUGCUGUGAUGGGGAGUUAUUUGAUCUCUCUCCUUCUGACUCUCGAUACUUCUCCAAUUAAAUCUAAUGGAACAAAAUACAUUCGAAAAGAGAUUUAAUUAAGAUAAUGUCUGAUAGUUUGUGAAAUAUUUUGUUAAUUGUGAUCAAACGAGAUAAACCUUUAGAGGAAUAGUAUAUGGAUCAAAGUCGAGACGGUUCAUGGACCAAAGAAGGUCAUCGCCGUUAAUAGUUUUACGUUUCUCACUGUGACACUUUUCAGACGCUUCACCGGUGAUAAAACUAACAAACUCCGAGACACAUUCUUGAAUCGUUUCUUUGGCUUCUUUCGAGAUCUUGGCAUUUAUCGGUAGAGCUCUCUUCAUGAUCCGGCUCACAUUUGCUAUUGGAAGAAAUCGAUCAUUUGAGGCUGCAUCCCUUUUGGAAUUACUAUUAGAUGAACUUCCGACCAUUGGGUUAUUGGUUGCAAGCCCCAUCAAUUCCGUUGUUCACGCCUUCAGAUGUUUCUCUAACCAUAUUUGUGAAAAGGAUUUAUAAGAAUGUUUAAACGUAUGCCCAAAAUUCUUGUCCAAUCAUAAAAUAGAAAUUUCAAUGUCCUCCCGGCCACCAAUAGAUUUUUUUAGCUAUCAAUAGUUUUCUUUAACUAUCAACCACCUAAUUUUGAUGCAACAUGGGAUAUUAUUGACUACAAAUACGUACAAAUUACGUACUUGGUUGGUGUCAAACGAGCCGAACUGAGCUUUGGCUUAUUGAGCCGUGUUCGGGCUCGACUCGUUAAGAAGUUAUCCAGGUUCAGGCUCAAACUUGUCGAGCUUGAUUUGAUCGAGCCCGAGCCCAUCGAGCCGAGGUUUAUUUGACACCCUAGUCGACACAAAUCAUUUUGUCCAAUGUUUAUUAUGAAAUUCGGUCAUAUUUUCCGAGGCGGGUAUUCGUUGUACACAUAUUAGUUAAUGUCUUGUGUAGUAAAUUAUUAUAGUUGUUGGAUUAAAAAUUAAAAGACAUGAUACUUUUGACGUAUUUUGGCGCACCAACGUACGGCGCACCUGAAAAUUAUCGUAUUUUUUUAAACCCUUUCCUUGAUAUCAUUUCUUUUAACCCUAGUCACCCAAUCCAUUGACCCAAUUUGAGUACCUUCUAGCAACCCAAAUUCUAUGUCAAUUGUAAAUAGAUAAUUAGGGUUUUAAAUAACGCAAUACUUAAAAAUUAGUUUAUAGAAAAGGGAAAUAACACAAACAUCAAGAGGUGAUAUAUUAAAUGAUCCUGACAUAUCACCCAGAGAUAAAGAUUUUAACAUCAUUAUAAAAAAAAAUUAACAUACCAAUAUUUGAAUUUUAUUAAAAAAAAAUCAAAAUUCGUCGUAGAUCAUCGACCAUUAUUGGAACAUCUUUUCUUGAAACCUCAAAAAAUUAUUCUUAUUCAAUUCUUCUUACUUAUAUGUUCAUUACUUUCCCGGUGAUGGUGGUUCUAUUUUCGGUGAUGUAUCAGGGUCGUAGAGAUAAUUUUCGAUAUCAUCAUUUUCGAUAUCAUCAUUUUCGGUACCAUCAUUUUCAUUUUCUUCACCAAUCUUAAUAGAGAACUUCGCCAUUAAAUCACCUUCAUCGGUCAUUGUAUCAAUUCCUUCCUGCAUUAUUGAAAACAUAUCUCCUUCAUUGUUCAAAUUUCCGACCUCAUUAUUACUACGGCAAAUGCUCGGGUCAAGGCCACCGUAAAGAGACGAUUCAGACAGGUCGUAAUUACCUCCAACUACGUUGGAAAUUGAAUAGCCAAUUUCUCCGAUCGUAGGAUAAGCGUAAUGGGCAUUCGGAUCCAUCAUACCAGUGCAAUCAUUUCCAUAAUCAUUAUUACAGUUGUCUAUUUCGAGACCAGUACCACUAGAACUAGCACCAUAGGUAUCCAUACUCAUCCGAUUGGUUUGUGAUUGAUGCGCAAGUGGGGAUUGUCUCUGUUGUUGUUGCAGUUGUUGUUGUUGCGAAUCUAGCGUCUGAUAUGAUGAGAAGGUAUUUGAUUUCACUCCUUCUGACUCUCGAUAUUUCUCCAAAUAAAUCUAAUGAAAUAAAAUACAUUCAAAAAGAGAUUUAAUUAAAAUAAUGUUUGAUAGUUUGUAAAAUAUUUUGUAAAAUAUUUUGUUAAUUAUGAUCGAACGAGAUGAACCUUUAGAGGAACGGUAUAUGGCGAAAAAUCGAGACGAUUCAUGGACCAAAGAAGGUCAUCGCCGUUGACUGUUUUACGUUUCUCACUUCGACACUUUUCAGCGGCUUCGCCAGUGAUGAAACUAAUGAACUCCGACACACAUUCCUGAACCGUUUCUUUGGCUUCUUUCGAGAUCUUGGCAUGUGUCGGUAGAGCUCUCUUCAUGAUCCGACUCACAUUUGCAAUUGGAAGAAAUCGAUCAAUUGAAGGUACAUCAUUUCCUGGAUUAAUGUUAGAAGCACUUCUAGUCAGGAUCAUUGGUCUAUUGGUCGCAGAAUCUCCUUCAAUUCGGUUGAAAUCAUCUUUAUAAGUUUCAUCGGGCAUAUUUUAAGAUCGGUAUCUAAAUAAAUUUCUAUUUUUGUGGAAGAAAUUUCUAUCUUUGUCAAUUGACCUAUCUUUAGCCAUCAAUCCUAAUUAUUUAUAUCGAAGGAAUGAAUGAAUAUUACAAAUUAAAUUAACAAUAACAAUAAAAAAACUAUAUUAGUACCAACCAACUAACUAACUGUAUUUUUAACCGACAAAAUUAGUUUCUUUAUUAACUCCCUCUAAUAAAUGAUUAGUUUGGAUAAUUAAGUUACGAUUAGUUUUUUUAAUUAUCAUUAAAGAUGCAAAAUGUUAUAAUUUAUAAAUUUAUAUAUAACUUCUUAAUAUUAUUUACUAUUGACGGUCUAUUUAUAAAAUUUUAAAAAUAUUUGUUAAGUUUUAAAGAAUAAACAAAACUACAAACUAACAAAAGUUAGAAACCAAAAACUAUCGUCGUUAACUCGUUAUUCCCAUUCCCCGCUAUUUCGGUUAGGUUUUAUCUCUUUUUUUUAGGGUUUUCACCCCUCACCCUCACAACGCUCACAGGAAGUCAUGAAUCACAACCUCACAGCGUUCACACUUCACAGCCACAGGUAUUUCUUAUCUUCUUAUUAAUUUCGAUCUCUUCUUUUCUCUUUCUUAAUUUCUUCAUUAGAUCUCUCUAAAUUUUUUGUGGAUCUUUCCAUGUCUAAUGUCUUUUUUUGAACAGAUUAUCUUCCUGACUUCCUUGAUCUGAUCUGUAGAUUAGUUAUAAUAAUAAUGAUUUGUAGACUGGUUAUAUUUUUUUUAACCAUCAAAAUCCGAGUCGUCUAGUAAAGGACGUAAUGUCAUAAGAACACCGAUGAAAAUAAAAAAACGUGCUAAAGAUAAUAUGAGAAAUUAAAAUUUCAAAAUAAAAUAAAUAAAAUAUAUACCUAAACACCUGUAUUUGAAAUCUUUGUAUGACACACCAACCAAAUAUUUUUACUAUUGUAAUUUACAUAUUUUAUUAUCAUAUCUUCGAAGUCGUUGUCAACUGUGUUGUAUUUGAUUUUGAAUGAAUGCGUGCCUCCAGAAUCUUCAACAUCCUGUUACAGCGCCGGUGAACUCAAAGGAGGCGGUCAGAGACCUAGCGGAGACCUUGGACUUGAACGACGAAGUAACCAAAGAAGAAACGGUUGAAGAAGCAGCGACGAUGGAGCCAGGAGUCGCCGAGGAGCAAAAGAGGGAAUUAGGUCACGGACGGCUCUGGGAGAAGCGAGCCACGCGGGCGCCAGCGUGGACUGCCAGCUUUGAUUUGAGUAGGUAAGUUAGUUAAGGGUGAUUUUGCAGGAAGGACCUUAUUUUUAGUUUAAUUCCGUUAGUUUUGAAACUUGUUUUUAAUUUGGAUUAUUUUCAUUCAGCACCCUAUGUAAUUCCCCUAUAAAAGGGCACCAUAUGUAUUUUUACUUUUAUCGAAUAAAAUACUAAAAAUUUCCCUUAAAUCGUUCCACUUCAUUUCCGUAAUCGCCGCAUCGCCGAUCGCUCCGGUCAUCGUCGAAUCCCUCCGCAUCCGACUCAACUCUUACAAUCCAGUCGCUCCGCACCUUCGUCGCAACAUCUCCGCUCCGGACUUCAUCUCUGCUGCUCAGAGAAUCCAAUCGAGAGGAAAUACGAUCUUUUGAUCACACUUCGUCUCUUUUCUAGAUCAGCUUCCCGAUCUUUGAAUCGGGGACUGUGGUUGAUCGCCCAGGUCAAAUCCUUCUCGAGCAGAGCCCCCUUCCGAUUCCUUGAUACCGGCUUGAUACUGUAUCAACUGGUGCUUUCAACAUUUUGUUUACUCAUUUUUCAGGAAAAUGACAACCGCUCCACAAGGCUUGCCGGAAGGCAUGGAAGCGACUGUCAAGAGACUUCAGACGUUUCAGAUGUCCCAGACCAAUGAACUGUCCGAGCUGAGGAAGUCAUUGAACCACAAUGUGCUGGAACUAGGGAAGCAAAUCUCUGAUUUAGCCUCUAUUAUCACCAACAAGAAAUCAGAUCUGCAAAAUAAUCAGACAGGGGAGACAUCAUAUGAACAAAUAAACAUCAACAGUUACCAAGAGGAAGUUAUUGCUCCUGUUGAUCCAGAGCGUCCUGCAUAUGCUGUGAGUAUGUAUGGUAAUGCAGACUAUACCCCAGCUAAACACAUUAAGUUUGAUAUGCCUAAAUUUAAUGGGAAAGACCCUGAGGCCUGGAUCUUCAUGGCUCGGAGGUUUUUCAUUUUUCAUAACACCCCGGAGGACCAGAAGUUGAUUAUUUCAUCAUUCAACAUGGUUGAUGUGGCUCUGAAGUGGUUUCUGUGGAUGGAAUCCAGCAAUUACUUAACCACUUGGCCUGCUUUUGUCAAGUCACUACUAAAAAAAUUCAAUCCUAGCACUUACACAAUCCCUGGAGGCAGAUUAAGUAAGAUAUCGCAGAUCACUACAGUGGCUGAAUUCGUGACAAGGUUUGAAGACUAUUCUUCAAAAGUGUUUGGGGUACCUGAUUGGCUCCUGUUGGAAAUGUUUAUCUCGGGUUUGAAGGAUGAGUAUCUAUCAGAGGUAGUUAAAGCUAAGCUUACCGAUAUUCAAGAGGCUAUGGAAUUGACGGUGCACCUAGAAAACCAAGGUUCAUCUACUGUUAGCUACAAGUCUGGUGGGUAUAGACCAAGUCCAGGAAGAUCCUUCAUUGGAAAAACUUCUGGAAAUAACAAUUUUGGCAGCAAUUUUGCAAUGAAUAAUCAGCCUGCUGCAAUGAAUAAAACCACCAAUGCUCCUAUUUUUAAGAGACUAUCUCCUGCUGAGAGAAGGGAGAGAACUAUCAAGGGUCUCUGUUUCAAUUGUGAUGAGAGGUUUGCACCAGGCCACAAGUGUAAGGGAAGAUUGUUCAGAUUAUCAGCAGAUGACAACACUCUAUGGGAGUUGGAAGGAGAUGAUACUGAGAUAGAAGGCAUAAAGGAAGAGGAACACAGUAUAAUAGAAGGAGUGGUAGAUACUGAAAUCAGCUUACAAGCAUACCAAGGCAAACUGGGGGUCAGAACCAUCAGGCUGGAUGGAUUCAUAAAAAACCAAGCUGUAAGUGUGUUGGUGGAUCCAGGGUCAACUCACAACUUCAUGCAAGUUGAUUUAGCUACAAGACUGCAGAUGAUAGUACAUGCAAUCAACCCAUUCAGAGUUUCUACUGGCAGUGGAGAGAAACUAUUGUGUGACAAAGUGUGUAAGCAGGUUCAGAUCAAGAUUCAAGGGGUAAUAAUUACUAUUGAUUUAUUCUUAUUACCUAUGGCAGGGUCCAAUAUAGUCAUCGGUACCCAAUGGCUCAAGGAAUUGGGUGACGUAGUUUCCAAUUACAAGGAGUUAUGUAUGAAGUUUGAAUGGGAAGGAAAAAGGGUAAUUUGGAAAGGUAUAUCUUGGCUGAAUAGUGACCCACUAACAAAUGGGCAGAUGAAAUCCUUGCAGGCAUCUACUUCUGAAGCAUACCUAUGCUACUUUGAAUAUGUAGAAGAACAACCAAACCUGAAUAAUCUAUCAUUAUCUGAGUCAGCAGUAGUAAAUCAGGUGGUGGAAGUUUUUCCUGAAAUAUUUGAAGAACCUAAGGGAUUGCCACCCCAAAGGGAAGUUGAUCAUUUUAUACAUUUAUAUCCCAAUUCAAGCCCCGUAAAUGUAAGGCCAUACAGAUUUCCCCAAUUUCAGAAAGGGGAAAUUGAGAGGUUAGUGAGAGAAUUACUGAAUCAGGGCACUGUUAGGCCAAGCACCAGCCCCUACUCAUCUCCAGUAUUGCUAGUCAAGAAGAAGGAUGGAGGUUACAGACUCUGUGUUGAUUACAGAGCCCUGAAUGCCAUCACUAUCAAGGAUAAGUUCCCAAUACCUACAGUUGAUGAACUAUUGGGUGAGUUGAAAGGAGCUGUAAUUUUCUCAAAGCUAGAUUUGAGAUCGGGAUUCCACCAAAUAAGGAUAAACCCCAAAGAUACUGAGAAAACAGCUUUCAGAACACACCAGGGUCACUAAGAAUUCUUGGUGAUGCCUUUUGGGCUGACCAAUGCCCCAGCUACAUUUCAGGCAGCCAUGAACAGGGUUUUUCAGAAAUAUCUGAGGAAGUUCAUCAUUAUUUUUUUGACGAUAUUCUAAUCUAUAGCACCUCAGUUGCUGAUCAUGUUAAGCAUCUGGAGCUCAUUUUCGAGUUGAUGAAAGAAAAUCAGUUGCUUGCAAAAAAAUCUAAAUGUUGCUUUGGCCAAGAAACCAUGGGAUUUUUGGGUCAUAUUAUUAGUAAAGAAGGUGUAAAUCCUGACCCCACAAAGAUUUCAGCCAUGUUGGAAUGGCCUACUCCAAAAAAUCUGAAACAGCUAAGAGGGUUUUUGGGCCUUACAGGUUAUUACAGGAAAUUUAUCAAGGGAUAUGCUCAAAUAGCUUCUGCCAUGACCGAUCUAUUAAAGAAGGAUUCCUUCUCCUGGUCUGAAUUGGCUACUCUAAGUUUUAACAGAUUAAAAGAAGCCAUGACUAAGGCUCCAGUGCUCAAAUUUCCUGAUUUUGAUAAAUUGUUUGUUGUAGAAAUUGAUGCAUGCAACACAGGUAUUGGAGCUGUUCUGCAACAGGAAGAGCAUCCUAUAGCUUUCUACAGUAAAAAGAUAGGAGGAAGGUUGGCUUCAGCUUCUAUAUACAUCAAGGAGAUGUUUGCAAUUACCCAAGCAGUGGGUAAGUGGAGGCAUUACUUACUUGGGAGCCAUUUUGUGAUCAAAACUGAUCACAGAAGUUUGAAAAACUUGCUAACACAGGUAAUUCAAACUCCAGAGCAACAAGUUUUUCUGUGUAAAUUGCUGGGUUAUGACUUCACUAUUCUCUAUAAACCCGGGAAGGAUAACAAGGUGGCAGAUGCCCUAUCUAGGUGCCAUGAAGAAGUGGAGAUUAUAUUCAGUAAUAAAGCUGAUAAUCAGAAGGGAUCCUUAUUAGCCCUAUCAGCUUCUAUGUGCUCAUUAGUAGAUGAGAUGAAGAGGGAGAAUGAACAGUCCCCGGAGACACAAAAUCUGAUUCAUAACAUCAACUCAAAUUCCAGAAAAAACUCAUAAUUUUACUGUGGGACAGGGGCUGGUAUUUUACAAGGGGAAGUAUUAUCUAAAGAAAAACUCCGAGAUAAUUCAAAAGCUCUUAAAGGAAUUCCAUGAUUCACCUUUGGGAGGACACUCAGGAAUAGAAAGAACCAUCAGAAGGAUCUCAAUUCAGUUUUGGUGGCAGGGCAUGUCUAAUGACAUCAGAAAUUAUGUUAAAAAAUGUUUGGUUUGCCAACAAAUGAAACCCCUUAAUCAAAAGGCAUAUGGGCUGUUAAUGCCACUUCCCAUUCCCCCUUCAGUGUGGCAUGACUUAUCUGUGGAUUUUAUCACUAAUCUUCCCAAAGUUCAAGGUAAAACAGUCAUAGUUGUGGUAGUGGACAGACUGUCAAAAUCAUGCCAUUUGGGAGCACUUCCAACAAGUUACACAGCCUCUAUGGUGGCAGAGUUCUUUGUAAAAGAAGUAGUUAGACUGCACGGCUACCCUAAUUCCAUAGUUUCUGAUCGAGACAGAGUAUUUCUCUCCAAAUUUUGGAAAGAGUUGAAUAAACUCAGUGGGACAACUCUAAACUUCUCUACUGCCUACCACCCUCAGAGUGACGGCCAAACCGAGGUGGUCAACAGAAGCAUCGAGAUGUAUCUGAGAUCACUAGCACAUGAAGAUCCCAAGAAAUGGCUAUCCCUACUCCCUUGGGCAGAGUUCUGGUUUAAUACUAACUAUAAUGUUUCUGUGGGACAAACACCAUUCCAAAUACUAUAUGGGAAGGAGGCCCCUAUAUUACCCGGUUAUGUUGAAGGAAAUUCGGCCAUAGAUGCAGUGGAUAGAGAACUGAAUGAUAGAGAAUUGGCCUUGGAAAUGGCGAAAAAUAACUUGAUCAAGGCACAAAAAAGAAUGAAAUCAAAUGCUGAUAAAAACAGGAAAGAAAUACAAUUCAAUGUGGGUGAUUGGGUUUUGGUUAAACUCAAAAGAUACAGGCAAAAUUCAGUAGCAAUACGACUCCAUAACAAGCUAAACAAGCGAUACUUUGGCCCAUACAAAAUUAAGGAAAAGAUUAGCAGGGUCGCUUACAGAGUAUCUCUGCCUAUAGGAAGCAGGAUCCAUGACUCGUUCCACAUCUCCCUGUUGAAGAAGUUUGUGGGUAGCCCACCUGAAGAGAAGGAGUUGACACCUAUAAUUGCAGUAAAGAGUGAGACAGUAUUAAUUCCAUUGGCCAUUGUUGAUUACAGGGUUAUUUACCGCAAGGAAAAUCAGGUUGCACAAGCACUGGUUCAGUGGUGCGGGGAACCGGUCGAGGAUUCAUCGUGGGAGGACGUCGAGGUGCUGCGCAAGCUCUUUCCAUCUAUACACCUUGAGGACAAGGUGGUUCUUCGAGAGGGGUAUCAUGUUACAGCGCCGGUGAACUCAAAGGAGGCGGUCAGAGACCUAGCGGAGACCUUGGACUUGAACGACGAAGUAACCGAAGAAGAAACGGUUGAAGAAGCAGCGACGAUGGAGCCAGGAGUCGCCGAGGAGCAAAAGAGGGAAUUAGGUCACGGACGGCUCCGGGAGAAGCGAGCCACGCGGGCGCCAGCGUGGACUGCCAGCUUUGAUUUGAGUAGGUAAGUUAGUUAAGGGUGAUUUUGCAGGAAGGACCUUAUUUUUAGUUUAAUUCCGUUAGUUUUGAAACUUGUUUUUUAUUUGGAUUAUUUUCAUUCAGCACCCUAUGUAAUUCCCCUAUAAAAGGGCACCAUAUGUAUUUUUACUUUUAUCGAAUAAAAUACUAAAAAUUUCCCUUAAAUCGUUCCACUUCAUUUCCGUAACCGCCGCAUCGCCGCAUCGCCGAUCGCCGAUCGCUCCGGUCAUCGUCGAAUCCCUCCGCAUCCGACUCAACUCUUACAAUCCAGUCGCUCUGCACCUUCGUCGCAACAUCUCCGCUCCGGACUUCAUCUCUGCUGCUCAGAGAAUCCAAUCGAGAGGAAAUACGAUCUUUUGAUCACGCUUCGUCUCUUUUCUAGAUCAGCUUCCCGAUCUUUGAAUCGAGGACUGUGGUUGAUCGCCCAGGUCAAAUCCUUCUCGAGCGGAGCCCCCUUCCGAUUCCUUGAUACCGGCUUGAUACUGUAUCACAUCCUUGUUUCGUAUCCUAAGACUAAAAUUUUACCAGUUUCUAUUUCUCUAGGAUUUUUCGUCCAUAUUUUAUAACAAUCGUUAAUAUAAUGAUUGUUGACUUCACAACGAAAAUAAGCAAAACCACGGCAAUAAUAAUCUAUAUUUUUUUGAAAACUAAAUUGAAUCCAGUUAAGUCGUUCGAGUCGUUAAUGUCAUUCGACAAUUAAAAGUAGUUGACUUAAUUUUUAUUGAAAAUGAAAAAAUAUUUACAAUCGUUAUAAUUAAAAUAUAAAUUUAUAAAAUUAAUCAAUUACAAUCAAUAUCGGAAAUAUCUCUAUUCGGUAUUUUAAGCACACUACUCUUCAGAUUAGACUUAUGGUCGGGCAUGGAUCCUCCGAAGCUUCUAUUUGCAGUCUCAGAUCUCUCCCAUCGCCUUUGAGACUGUUAAGAAAAAAAAUCACGAAGAGAAGCUAUUAAAUCUCCACAAUACUAAAAACAAACAUGCGCGGCCUAUCCCUGCACUUAUUGUCUCGAAGAACUGAACGUCGUGUCGUUGCCUCUGCUGUGAGAAGUAUGAGAAGAAAUCGGUGUUUAUGGCAUAUGUCAUCUACGACCUUUUGGAUAGCAAGCGUAUGAUUCUUAUUGUGUAUGUAAAUGGAUUUGCUCUUAUAUUGCCGCUAAGUUUCUACUUUUUCCAUGCAUUGUAAACAAUCGUGAUCACGCCAGCAGUUGAUAAUCAACACCGGGAAAAGGGGUUGCGGCAUGCAGGUAGAGGUAGGGUAUUAAAUAAAACCCGGCUCGGUGGGCUCGACUCGUUUAAACUCGGGCUCGCGAGCCCAACGAGCCGAGCCUGAAGCUCAAGCUCGUUAAGCUCGUUAAGCUCGGUAAGAAUAAGUAUAAAAAAGUGAAAAAAUAUUUUAUUUAAAGAUAAUGGAGGUGUAGCAUAGAUGGUAAAACGUUUGUUAAGCAUAUAUACAUGAGGUCAUGAGUUCGAUCUCCUAUAUCUUUAAAUUAAUAAUUAUUUUUUUUAAUUCGAGCGCCGGCUCGAGUCAGGAAAGUCUCUGACGAGCCAAGCUCGAGCCCAAAUGAUACCUUAACGAGCCAAGCCGAGCCCGAACCCGACUCUAUAAGCAAAAGUUCGGCUCGACUUAUUUGACACCCUAGGUAAAAGUGAUGUAUUUAUAUAAUAUCAGGGUUGUGGGGGGAUCUCUUUUUCCAUCCCCGUACCCAGCAUUUUUAUCAGGGCCGGAGGACUUGAUAAAAUGACCGACGGGACAGGUACCGGUACGGGGAUAGUGGAAUACCCGGUUAUAUUUAAAAAAAAUGAUUUCUGAUAUUUUUUUAAAUUUAAUAUCUGAUAUUUAUGAUAUUACAGAAAAAUGAAAAAUUUAAUAAUUAAAACAGAUCGUAAAUAUAAAUAAACAAUAACCUAAAUCUAAAUAUACAAAUUAUGACACCUCAAUAACACCUCAAAUUUUUUCGUAGAUCAUCAACCAUUAUUGGAACAUCUUUUUUUGAAAGCUCAAUAAAUUAUUCCUAUUCGAUUCAUCUUACUUAUAUGUUCAUUAUUACUUUUCCGGUGAUGGUGAUUUUGGUGGUUCCAUUGUCGGUAACGUAUGAGGGUAAAGAUAAUUUUGAUAUAUCGCGCUACGUACUGAUAUCAUCUAGGAUACCAUCAUUUUCAUUUGCUUCAUCUAUCUUACUAGAGAACAUCGCCAUUAAAUCUCCUGCUUCUUCAGUCCUGUUAUCAAAUCCUUCCCGUAUUGUUGGAAACCUCUCUUCACCAUUGUUUAAACUUCCGACCUCAUUAUUGCUACAGUAAAUGCUCGGGUCAAGGCUACCGUAAAGGGACGAUUCAGACAUGUUGUAAUUACCUCCAACUACGUUGGAAAUUGAAUAGUUAGUUCCUUCAACCGUAGGAUAAGUGUAAUGGGCAGUCGAAUCCAUUAUACCAGUGUAACCAUUUCCAUAAUCAUUACAGUUUCCUCCGAUCGGUAUAGCAUAUAUAUCGUUGUCUAUUUCUAGACCAGCACCAUUGGAACUAGCAUCAUUGAUAUCCAUACACAUCCGUUUAUUUUGCGGUUGUUACGCAAUGGGGGUUGUCGAUCUCUGUUGUUGCGUCUGAUUCUGAUGUGAUGGCGAAAUAUUUGAUCUCUCUCCUUCUGGCUCUCGAUACUUCUGCACCAACGUACGACGCAUCUAAAAAUUACCGUAUUUUUUUAUACCCUUUCCUUAAUAUCAUUUUUUUUAACCUUAGUCACCCAAUCCAUUGACCUAAUUUGAGUACCUUCUAGCUAAACCUUUAAAUGUUUUAAAAUUUAAUAUUUGAUAUUUAUGAUAUUACAGAAAAAUGAAAAAUUUAAUAAUUAAAACAUAAAUGAUCCUAAAUAUAAAUAAAGGAUAACCUAAAUCUAUUGAUCUUGAAAGCUCAAUAAAAUUAUUCCUAUUCGAUUCAUCUUACAUAUAUAUUCAUUAAUUACUUUCCCAGUGAUGGUUGUUGUGGUGGUCCCAUUAUCGGUAACGUAUUAGAGAUAAUUUUGAUAUAUCGCCCUACUGAUAUCACCUCCCAUACCUUCAUUUUUAUUUGCUUCAUCUAUCUUACUAGAGAACAUCGCCAUUAAAUCACCUGCUUCUUCAGUCCUGCUAUCACAUCUUUCCUGCAUUGUUGGAAACCUCUCGCCACCAUUCUUCAAACUUCCGAACUCAUUAUUGCUACGGUAAAUGCUCGGGUCAACGCCAGCGUAAAGGAACGAUUCAGACAUGCCAUAAUUACCUCCACCUAGGUUGGAAAUUGAAUAGCUAGUUUCUCCAACCGUAGGAUAAAUGUAAUGGGCAGUUGGAUCCAUCAUACCAGUGUAAUCAUUUCCAUAACCAUUACAGUUUCUUCCAAUCGGUAUAGUAUAUCUAUCGUUGUCUAUUCCGAGACCAGUACCACUAGAACUAGCACAAUUGAUAUCCAUACACAUCCGUUUAAUUGGUGGUUGUUGCGCAAGUGGGGGUUGUCUUUGUUGUUGUGGUUGAUGUGCCUGUUGCAGUUGUUGCGUCUGCUGUGAUGGGGAGUUAUUUGAUCUCUCUCCUUCUGACUCUCGAUACUUCUCCAAUUAAAUCUAAUGGAACAAAAUACAUUCGAAAAGAGAUUUAAUUAAGAUAAUGUCUGAUAGUUUGUGAAAUAUUUUGUUAAUUGUGAUCAAACGAGAUAAACCUUUAGAGGAAUAGUAUAUGGAUCAAAGUCGAGACGGUUCAUGGACCAAAGAAGGUCAUCGCCGUUAAUAGUUUUACGUUUCUCACUGUGACACUUUUCAGACGCUUCACCGGUGAUAAAACUAACAAACUCCGAGACACAUUCUUGAAUCGUUUCUUUGGCUUCUUUCGAGAUCUUGGCAUUUACCGGUAAAGCUCUCUUCAUGAUCCGGCUCACAUUUGCUAUUGGAAGAAAUUGAUCAUUUGAGGCUGCAUCCCUUUUGGAAUUACUAUUAGAUGAACUUCCGACCAUUGGGUUAUUGGUUGCAAGCCCCAUCAAUUCCGUUGUUCACGCCUUCAGAUGUUUCUCUAACCAUAUUUGUGAAAAGGAUUUAUAAAAAUGUUUAAACGUAUGCCCAAAAUUCUUGUCCAAUCAUAAAAUAGAAAUUUCAAUGUCCUCCCGGCCACCAAUAGAUUUUUUUAGCUAUCAAUAGUUUUCUUUAACUAUCAACCACCUAAUUUUGAUGCAACAUGGGAUAUUAUUGACUACAAAUACAAAUUACGUACUUGGUUGGUGUCAAACGAGCCGAACUGAGCUUUGGCUUAUUGAGCCGUGUUCGGGCUCGACUCGUUAAGAAGUUAUCCAGGCUCAGGCUCAAACUUGUCGAGCUUGAUUUGAUCGAGCCCGAGCCCAUCGAGCCGAGGUUUAUUUGACACUCUAGUCGACACAAAUCAUUUUGUCCAAUGUUUAUUAUGAAAUUCGGUCAUAUUUUCCGAGGCGGGUAUUCGUUGUACACAUAUUAGUUAAUGUCUUGUGUAGUAAAUUAUUGUAGUUGUUGGAUUAAAAAUUAAAAGACAUGAUACUUUUGACGUAUUUUGGCGCACCAACGUACGGCGCACCUGAAAAUUAUCGUAUUUUUUUAAACCCUUUCCUUGAUAUCAUUUCUUUUAACCCUAGUCACCCAAUCCAUUGACCCAAUUUGAGUACCUUCUAGCAACCCAAAUUCUAUGUCAAUUGUAAAUAGAUAAUUAGGGUUUUAAAUAACGCAAUACUUAAAAAUUAGCUUAUAAAAAAGGGAAAUAACACAAACAUCAAGAGGUGAUAUAUUGAAUGAUCCUGACAUAUCACCCAGAGAUAAAGAUUUUAACAUCAUUAUAAAAAAAAAUUAACAUACCAAUUUUUGACUUUUAUUAUAAAAAAAUCAAAAUUCGUCGUAGAUCAUCGACCAUUAUUGGAACAUCUUUUCUUGAAACCUCAAAAAAUUAUUCUUAUUCAAUUCUUCUUACUUAUAUGUUCAUUACUUUCCCGGUGAUGGUGGUUCUAUUUUCGGUGAUGUAUCAGGGUCGUAGAGAUAAUUUUUGAUAUCAUCAUUUUCGAUAUCAUCAUUUUCGGUACCAUCAUUUUCAUUUUCUUCACCAAUCUUAAUAGAGAACUUCGCCAUUAAAUCACCUUCAUCAGUCAUUGUAUCAAAUCCUCCCUGCAAUGUUGGAAACAUAUCUCCUUCAUUGUUCAAAUUUCCUACCUCAUUAUUGCUACGGCAAAUGCUCGGGUCAAGGCCACCGUAAAGAGACGAUUCAGACAGGUCGUAACCCCCAACUACGUUGGAAAUUGAAUAGCCAAUUUCUCCGAUCGUAGGAUAAGCGUAAUGGGCAUUCGGAUCCAUCAUACCAGUGCAAUCAUUUCCAUAAUCAUUAUUACAGUUGUCUAUUUCGAGACCAGUACCACUAGAACUAGCACCAUAGGUAUCCAUACUCAUCCGAUUGGUUUGCAAUUGAUGCGCAAGUGGGGAUUGUCUCUGUUGUUGUUGCAGUUGUUGUUGUUGCGAAUCUAGCGUCUGAUAUGAUGAGAAGGUAUUUGAUUUCACUCCUUCUGACUCUCGAUAUUUCUCCAAAUAAAUCUAAUGAAACAAAAUACAUUCGAAAAGAGAUUUAAUUAAAAUAAUGUUUGAUAGUUUGUAAAAUAUUUUGUUAAUUAUGAUCGAACGAGAUGAACCUUUAAAGGAACGGUAUAUGGCGAAAAAUCGAGACGAUUCAUGGCCCAAAGAAGGUCAUCGCCGUUGACUGUUUUACGUUUCUCACUUCGACACUUUUCAGCGGCUUCGCCAGUGAUGAAACUAAUGAACUCCGACACACAUUCUUGAACCGUUUCUUUGGCUUCUUUCGAGAUCUUGGCAUGUGUCGGUAGAGCUCUCUUCAUGAUCCGACUCACAUUUGCAAUUGGAAGAAAUCGAUCAAUUGAAGGUACAUCAUUUCCUGGAUUAAUGUUAGAAGCACUUCUAGUCAGGAUCAUUGGUCUAUUGGUCGCAGAAUCUCUUUCAAUUCGGUUGAAAUCAUCUUUAUAAGUUUUUUCGGGCAUAUUUUAAGAUCGGUAUCUAAAUAAAUUUCUAUUUUUGUGGAAGAAAUUUCUAUCUUUGUCAAUUGACCUAUCUUUAGCCAUCAAUCCUAAUUAUUUAUAUCGAAGGAAUGAAUGAAUAUUACAAAUUAAAUUAACAAUAACAAUAAAAAAACUAUAUUAGUACCAACCAACUAACUAACUGUAUUUUUAACCGACAAAAUUAGUUUCUUUAUUAACUCCCUCUAAUAAAUGAUUAGUUUGGAUAAUUAAGUUACGAUUAGUUUUUUUAAUUAUCAUUAAAGAUGCAAAAUGUUAUAAUUUAUAAAUUUAUAUAUAACUUCUUAAUAUUAUUUACUAUUGACGGUCUAUUUAUAAAAUUUUAAAAAUAUUUGUUAAGUUUUAAAGAAUAAACAAAACUAGAAAUUAAAAAAAGUUUAAAACCAAAAACUAUCGUCGUCGUUAACUUGUUAUUCCCAUUCCCCGCUAUUUCAGUUAGGGUUUAUCUUUUUUUUUAGGGUUUUCACCCCUCACCCUUACAACCCUCACAGGAAGUCAGGAAUCACAACCUCAUAACGUUCACACUUCAUUAAUUUUCUUUUCUUAUUAAUUUCGAUCUCUUCUUUUCUCUUUCUUAAUUUCUUCAUUAGAGAUCUCUCUAAAUUUUUUGUGGAUCUUUCCAUGUCUAAUGUCUUUUUUUGAACAGAUUAUCUUCCUGACUUCCUCGAUCUGAUCUGUAGAUUAGUUAUAAUGAAUAAUGAUUUGUAGACUGGUUAUAUUUUUUUUAACCAUCAAAAUCCGUGUCGUCUAGUAAAGGACGUAAUGUCAUAAGAACACCGAUGAAAAUAAAAAAAAAGUGCUAAAGAUAAUAUGAGAAAUUAAAAUUUCAAAAUAAAAUAAAUAAAAUAUAUACCUAAACACCUGUAUAUGAGAUCUUUGUAUGACACACCAACCAAAUAUUUUUACUAUUGUAAUUUACAUAUUUUAUUAUCAUAUCUUCGAAGUCGUUGUCAACUGUGUUGUAUUUGAUUUUGAAUGAAUGCGUGCCUCCAGAAUCUUCAACAUCCUUGUUUCGUAUCCUAAGACUAAAAUUUUACCAGUUUCUAUUUCUCUAGGAUUUCUCGUCCAUAUUUUAUAACAAUCGUUAAUAUAAUGAUUGUUGACUUCACAACGAAAAUAAGCAAAACCACGACAAUAAUAAUCUAUAUUUUUUUGAAAACUAAAUUGAAUCCAGUUAAGUCGUUCGAGUCGUUAAUGUCAUUCGACAAUUAAAAGUAGUUGACUUAAUUUUUAUUGAAAAUGAAAAAAUAUUUACAAUCUUAUAAUUAAAAUAUAAAUUUAUAAAAUUAAUCAAUUACAAUCAAUAUCGGAAAUAUCUCUAUUCGGUAUUUUAAGCACACUACUCCAUUCAGAUUAGACUUAUGGUCGGGCAUAGAUCCUCCGAAGCUUCUAUUUGCAGUCUCAGAUCUCUCCCAUCGCCUUUGAGACUGUUAAGAAAAAAAAUCACGAAGAGAAGCUAUUAAAUCUCCACAAUACUAAAAACAAACAUGCGCGGCCUAUCCCUGCACUUAUUGUCUCGAAGAACUGAACGUCGUGUCGUUGCCUCUGCUGUGAGAAGUAUGAGAAGAAAUCGGUGUUUAUGGCAUAUGUCAUCUACGACCUUUUGGAUAGCAAGCGUAUGAUUCUUAUUGUGUAUGUAAAUGGAUUUGCUCUUAUAUUGCCGCUAAGUUUCUAAUUUUUCCAUGCAUUGUAAACAAUCGUGAUCACGCCAGCAGUUGAUAAUCAACACCGGGAAAAGGGGUUGCGGCAUGCAGGUAGAGGUAGGGUGUCAAAUAAAACCCGGCUCGGUGGGCUCGACUCGUUUAAACUCGGGCUCGCGAGCCCAACGAGCCGAGCCUGAAGCUCAAGCUCGUUAAGCUCGGUAAGAAUAAGUAUAAAAAAGUGAAAAAAUAUUUUAUUUAGAGAUAAUGGUGGUGUAGCAUAGAUGGUAAAACGUUUGUUAAGCAUACGAGAGGUCAUGAGUUCAAUUUCCCAUAUCUUUAAAUAAUUAUUUUUUUUAAUUCGAGCGCGGGCUCGAGUCAGGAAAGUCUCUGACGAGCCAAGCUCGAGCCCAAAUGAUACCUUAACGAGCCGAGCCGAGCCCGAACCCGACUCUAUAAGCAAAAGUUCGGCUGACUUAUUUGACACCCUAGGUAAAAGUGAUGUAUUUAUAUAAUAUCAGGGUUGUGGGGGGAUCUCUUUUUCUAUCCCCGUACCCAGCAUUUUUAUCAGGGCCGGAGGACUUGAUAAAAUGACCGACGGGACAGGUACCGGUACGGGGAUAGUGGGAUACCCGGUUAUAUUUAAAAAAAAUGAUUUCUGAUAUUUUUUUAAAUUUAAUAUCUGAUAUUUAUGAUAUUACAGAAAAAUGAAAAAUUUAAUAAUUAAAACAGAACGUAAAUAUAAAUAAACAAUAACCUAAAUAUAAAUAUACAAAUUAUGACACCUCAAUAACACCUCAAAUUUUUUCGUAGAUCAUCAACCAUUAUUGGAACAUCUUUUUUUGAAAGCUCAAUAAAUUAUUCCUAUUCGAUUCAUCUUACUUAUAUGUUCAUUAUUACUUUCCCGGUGAUGGUGGUUUUGGUGGUUCCAUUGUCGGUAACGUAUGAGGGUAAAGAUAAUUUUGAUAUAUCGCGCUACUGAUAUCCUCCCAUACCAUCAUUUUCAUUUGCUUCAUCUAUAUUACUAGAGAACAUCGCCAUUAAAUCACCUGCUUCUUCAGUCCUGCUAUCAAAUCCUUCCCGUAUUGUUGGAAACCUCUCUUCACCAUUGUUUAAACUUCCGACCUCAUUAUUGCUACGGUAAAUGCUCGGGUCAAGGCUACCGUAAAGGGACGAUUCAGACAUGUUGUAAUUACCUCCAACUACGUUGGAAAUUGAAUAGUUAGUUCCUUCAACCGUAGGAUAAGUGUAAUUAUAAACUUCAGGUCGCGGAGGAGGCGUAGCCGACAAUGUAGUGCCUUCCUCAAGCCGGGGAUGGUCGAAGUGCUGCGGAGUUGCCAGAUUGCUGGCUAGGGUUCGUCGCCCACUGGAGAAGGGGCUUUUACCGGAAUAAACUGUCGUUAAGGAGAAGGAGAAGACAGUUUGAAGAGUUAUUUCUUUAAUCUGGUUUUACCAGUAUUAACUUUGUAUUGAAUUAAUAAAUUGUAUUGUAAUACAUUGAUAUUUAAUACAAAGAUUAAACUAAUCUCGUAACUAAUUAAGCUUAAUAAAAUCAGGCCGUUGUGAUUGGUCCAUUAACGGAUAUUUGAAAAUAUUUCACUUUGGCCCUUCUGCUUCUAUAAUUCUUUUGUCACGAGUCUUGGGUUAAUUACCUGCACAGUAAUACUUGAACUCAAGUUAGUUUUUAUUAUAAAAACUCUUGUUUAUUACACUUAGGUCCUGUCAACGUUUUUAUUGAAACUUUUAUAUAACAACCCCCUGUCGGUUGAUAGUUGACAGUUUAUAUAGUUAUGUCAUAACCUUUAUAAUUGUUUUAUUUCACUUAAGUCCUUGUUUUAUAUUCCUUGGUAAAAUUGCUGUUUUUACCCUGGAUUUUCAGUGUUUUCUUAUACUCCCCCCUCAAGCCUUGGAAUACAUGUUAUGAAUACCAAGCUUGACGGAGAAUGCUGAAAUUUCAUUUUCUCCUAGUGAUUUGGUGAAAAUAUCAGCAAGUUGGUACUUUGUACCUACUUGUUUUAGCAUAAUUAUCCCUUUAUCUAUCAUCUCCCUUAUAGAAUGACAUGAUAUUUCUAUAUGUUUACUCCUUUCAUGGAAUACUGGAUUAUUGGCCAGAUAAAUUGCAGACUUGUUGUCACAGUAUAAGGAUGUUGGUUUUUGUAUUUUGAUUUUAAGGUCUUUAAAAAGUUGAUGUAGCCAUAGUAUUUCACAUUGUGCUUUACUAAUGGCUCUAUACUCAGCUUCACAUGAGGAAAGUAAAACAGUGGCUUGUUUCUUGGAUUUCCAAGAAAUUAAGGAUGUUCCUAAGAACAUGCAGUAGCCUGAAAGUGAUUUCCUGCCGAUUGAGCAGGAACCCCAAUCUGAAUCACAAUAUCCAUGAAGAUUCAUUUGGUUUUGGUUUUUAUAUAAUAUACCCUGUCCAGGGGCAUUUUUAAGAUAUCUUAUGACUUAUAUCUUAUAUUUUAUAUAAUAUUUUCAGAAUUCUAAAUAUUCUCAGAAUGAUCUUUAUUCUGAAUAUUUUCAGAAAUACAAUUGUUUUGGAAAUUUCCAAAAUUAUUAAUAGAGCCUCUAUCUCUAUGACUAUGAUUUGAUUCAAUCUCAUAGUUUUUAUUUUCAGUUUUAUUUUCCAUUUGAUUUAUCAACUGGUUUUGUGAGUUAUUGCUUAUUUCAAUAUACUCUGGAUUUAUUUGGCCCUUUUGUUGACCUUGAAUGUGAAUUUUUUCCAGUUUUUGAUUUUCUGAUCUUGUUUUGUUGUUUAGAUCAGAUUUUUUUGUUUUGAUUCUUUGAUCAUAGUUUUUAUAGUCAUACCAUGCUUUAUUCGAAUCAUCAUGAUAUAAAAACAUAUUAUCAUAAAAAAUUUCAAAAUUUUUUAAUUUUUUUGUGUUUUCUGAAUUUACAUUAUCUUUGAACGGGAAUAUUGAUUCCCUAAAAGAUACAUCUCUAGAAAUGAUAAAUUUCUUGUCUGAAAGCCUUAAUAUGGAGUAUCUUUUAACCCCUUUUGGGUAGCCCAUAAAUACUCCUUGAAAAGUUUUAGGAGAAAAUUUGUUUUCUAUUUGAGUUGUUGAUGCAUAGCACAAACAACCAAAUGUUUUUAAACUUUCAAAAUUUGGUAUCUUUUUAUGAACUAUUUCAUAAGGUGUUUUGUUUCCUAUGACUUUGGAAGGAAUUCUAUUAAUUAGGUGGGCUGCAGUUAGGAUGCACUCCCCCCAAUAUUCUAAUGGAAUAUUUCCUUGUAGGUGUAAUGCUCUUGUUAUGUUCAAGAGGUGCCUAUGUUUUCUCUCUACCCUUGCAUUUUGUGCAGGGGUAUAAGGACAUGAGAAGUGUUGAACUAUCCCAUGUUUUUCAGUCAUCUUUUUAAAACUAUUAGAAGUGAACUCUCCUCCAUUGUCACUUCUAAUGGUUUUUAUUUUAGUUUGAAAUUGUGUUUUAACCAUCUUAUAAAAAUUAUUAAUACAUUCUAUUGCCAUUGAUUUGUUCUUGAUUAAGUAUAUCCAUGUACCUCUGCUUAGAUCUUCUACAAUGGUUAAAAAAUAAUUGAAACCAUCAUGGGUUAUAAUUGGAAAUUUUCCCCAUAUAUCUAUGUGAAUUAGAUCAAACAAUUUUUUAGAUUUGGAAGAACUAAUUGGGAAUUUUAAUUUAGUUUGUUUUGCUAAUGAACAUAUCAUGCAGUUGUAUUGAACAGAAUUGAUUUUAUUCAAAACAGAUUUUUUAUUGAAAAAUUCAUCAUUAUCACAAUCUAAAAUUUUUUUAUUACAAUCUGAACUUUUACAACUACUACUAGUGUUUUUACAUUUAAUGUUGUAAUUGGAGACUAAUGUCUUCAUUUUCUCUGAGGAGAUGUGUCCUAAUCUUUGAUACCAAGUUUUGAAAUCAAUGGCUAGGUUUGCUAGAAAGUAGUGGGGGGUGAAGAAAUAUAGUCCAUCAUGGGACUCACCCUUGCCAAUCACUUUCUCGGACUUGUUUUCCUGAAAUUGAAAACAAUGAUCAUUGAAUAUUAAUUUAAUGUCAUUGUCUAAAGUUAAUUUGCUAAUGGCUAUUAGAUUAACUUCAAAUUCAGGAAUAAACAAUACAUUUUUUAAAACUAGGUUUUCUGAAAUUUUUAUGCAACCUAUUCCUUUAACUACUAAUUUUUUUCCACUAGGUAUGGUUACAUAAUGAUUAUAUUCUUUUGCUGGUGGAUUCAUAAAUAGAUGUAGAUUACCAGUCAUGUGCUGAGAAGCACCAGUAUCUACUAUCCAUCUAUCAAUAUAAUCAUUUAUUUUUCCAGAAAUUUAUUUAUAUUAAAAGAAAAAUUAAAAAUCUUACCAGAGUUAGACUUGGUAGAUGAGAUAAGUUCCUUGAACAACUGAAUCUCUUCUUGGGUCAGUGCUAAUUGUGGUUGACUGUUGGAGGUGGUUGCUUGAUUUGCAGCCUCUGUGGUUGUUAUGUUGUUGACUUGAUUCUUUUUUCCUUGAAACCUCUUUUGAUUUUUGUCUUUAGGUUUUCCUACUAGGUGAUAACAUUUGUCUCUUGUAUGACCAUAGUAUUUACAGUUAUCACAAUAAUACCUAGUGUCAAGCUUCUUUCCAUUUUUAGAAAGCAUAAUUUUUGUAUUUUCUGUUGGGUUUUUCUCUUUUGCAUAGAAAACUGAUUCAUUUUUUUCAUUUGUGUUAUCCCUGAACUUAUACCUCUGCUUCUCUUCUUGCAGUACUAAUCCAAGCAAUUUAUUCAUGUUUGGUAGCUUGUCUAGUGAUAGUAUUUGAGUUCUAAGAUUGAAAAAAUUUUCAUUUAAUCCUAAGAGGAACUGAUGUAUCAUAUCAUUCUCCUCUUUUUGUUGGUAGAGUUUCUUACAUCCUAAGCAAAAUUUCUCUUUGAUCUCAUCUACUUGUACCAAUUGGUCCCAAAUAGACCUAAACUUGUCAUAAAAGUCAGAAGCAUUCAUAGAACCUUGCUGUAGACUGUUGGAUCGUGAUCCGAGGCUAUAGGGGGGGUGAUAGCCUCUUUUCGAUUUAUACAGGUUGAUAGCGGAAACUUGACUUGCAUUAUUUGAAUACAUAAUGGUUGAUUGUAUUUGUGGGGAUACUGAAUUUAAGAUCCAUGCCAAUACUAACCCAUUAACUAUUUUCCAUAUAUUGUAUUCUCUACUGUUGCAAUCAGAGNNNNNNNNNNNNNNNNNNNNNNNNNNNNNNNNNNNNNNNNNNNNNNNNNNNNNNNNNNNNNNNNNNNNNNNNNNNNNNNNNNNNNNNNNNNNNNNNNNNNAAGGCAUCUUUCCUUCUUGACACCAAUGAGACCUUCAUCCCAUUGGCCCAAGUAAUGUAGUUGGUCUCACCAACUAAUCUAUCAGGGACUAGAAUUGCCCCCGGAUGAUCACCGGAGGUCAAGAAAAAGGGAGACUCUGGAUCUUGAAGUGGAGAGAUAUACCUGUCGGAUCUUUAUUUCUUGAAAAAAGAUCCUUGAUAGAAGUCCUCCUCAUGAUCCUUUGCUCUUGAUUUUCCAGUAAACCCAAAUGAAGAAUUCCGUGAAUUUACUGGAGUCUGUAGUGGGUUGUUGAAUGCUAGUAGUGCCACAGACUCUUCUCUGAUAUUGGCCGGAGGUAUUGAUGCGGAAGCGGCCGGACGAUUGACCGGAGGUACGCCUGGAGCGUUAGCGGCAGAUACCAUAUAAACUUCAGGUCGCGGAGGAGGCGUAGCCGACAAUGUAGUGCCUUCUUCAAGCCGGGGAUGGUCGAAGUGCUGCGGAGUUGCCAGAUUGCUGGCUAGGGUUCGUCGCCCACUGGAGAAGGGGCUUUUACCGGAAUAAACUGUCGUUAAGGAGAAGGAGAAGACAGUUUGAAGAGUUAUUUCUUUAAUCUGGUUUUACCAGUAUUAACUUUGUAUUGAAUUAAUAAAUUGUAUUGUAAUACAUUGAUAUUUAAUACAAAGAUUAAACUAAUCUCGUAACUAAUUAAGCUUAAUAAAAUCCGGCCGUUGUGAUUGGUCCAUUAACGGAUAUUUGAAAAUAUUUCACUUUGGCCCUUCUGCUUCUAUAAUUCUUUUGUCACGAGUCUUGGGUUAAUUACCUGCACAGUAAUACUUGAACUCAAGUUAGUUUUUAUUAUAAAAACUCUUGUUUAUUACACUUAGGUCCUGUCAACGUUUUUAUUGAAACUUUUAUAUAACAACCCCCUGUCGGUUGAUAGUUGACAGUUUAUAUAGUUAUGUCAUAACCUUUAUAAUUGUUUUAUUUCACUUAAGUCCUUGUUUUAUAUUCCUUGGUAAAAUUGCUGUUUUUACCCUGGAUUUUCAGUGUUUUCUUAUAGUAAUGGGCAGUCGAAUCCAUUAUACCAGUGUAACCAUUUCCAUAAUCAUUACAGUUUCUUCCGAUCGGUAUAGCAUAUAUAUCGUUGUCUAUUUCUAGAUCAGCACCAUUGGAACUAGCAUCAUUGAUAUCCAUACACAUCCGUUUAUUUUGCGGUUGUUACGCAAUGGGGGUUGUCUCUGUUGUUGCGUCUGAUUCUGAUGUGAUGGCGAAAUAUUUGAUCUCUCUCCUUCUGGCUCUCGAUACUUCUGCACCAACGUACGACGCAUCUAAAAAUUACCGUAUUUUUUUAUACCCUUUUCUUAAUAUCAUUUUUUUUAACCUUAGUCACCCAAUCCAUUGACCUAAUUUGAGUACCUUCUAGCUAAACCUUUAAAUGUUUUAAAAUUUAAUAUUUGAUAUUUAUGAUAUUACAGAAAAAUGAAAAAUUUAAUAAUUAAAACAUAAAUUAUCCUAAAUAUAAAUAAAGGAUAACCUAAAUCUAUUGAUCUUGAAAGCUCAAUAAAUUAUUCCUAUUCAAUUGAUCUUACAUAUAUAUUCAUUACUUUCCCGGUGAUGGUGGCUGUGGUGGUUCCAUUGUCGGUAACGUAUCAGAAUAUAGAUAAUUUUGAUAUAUCGCCCUACUGAUAUCACCUCCCAUACCUUCAUUUUUAUUUGCUUCAUCUAUCUUACUAGAGAACUUCGCCAUUAAAUCACCUGCUUCUUCAGUCCGGAUAUCACAUCCUUCCCGCAUUGUUGGAAACCUCUCUCCACCAUUUUUCGAACUUCCGACCUCAUUAAUAUUGCUACGGUAUAUGCUCGGGUCAAGGCCACCGUAAAGGGACGAUUCAGACAUGCCGUAAUUACCUCCAACUACGUUGGAAAUUGAAUAAUUAGUUCCUCCAACCGUAGGAUAAGUGUAAUGGGCAGUCGGAUCCAUCAUACCAUUAGAUCGACUUUUAUCGUACAUGAGUUAGUGUUUUUUGUUGUACAUUUUUUUUCGUCGUACAUGUGUUAGUUAAUGUCUUGUGUAGUACAUUAUUGUGACUGUUUGAUUAAAAAUUAAAAGACAGAAUACGUAUGGUACAUUUUGGAACACCAACGUACGGCGCAUCUAAAAAUUAUCGUAUUUUUUAUACCCUUUCCUUGAUAUCAUUUCUUUAAACCUAGUCACCCAAUCCAUUGACCUGAGUACCUUCUAGCAACCCAAAUUCUAUGUCAUUUGCGAUUAGAUAGUUAGGAUUUUAAAUAACGCAAUACUUAAAAAUUAGUUUAUAAAAAAGGGAAAUAACGCAAACAUCAAUAGGUGAUAUAUUAUAUGAUUCUGACAUAUUACCCAGAGAUAAAGAUUAUAACAUCAUUAUAAAAAAAAUUGACAAACCAAUUUUUGACAUUUAUUAAAAAAUAAUCAAAAUUCGUCAUAGAUCAUCGACCAUUAUUGGAACAUCUUUUCUUGAAACCUCAAAAAAUUAUUCUUAUUCGAUUCAUCUUAAUUACUUAUAUAUUCAUUUCUUUCCCGAUGAUGGUGGUUCUAUUUUCGGUGAUGUAUCAGGGUCGUAGAGAUAAUUUUCGAUACCAUCAUUUUCGAUAUCAUCAUUUUUGGUAGCAUCAUUUUCGGUACCAUCAUUUUCAUUUUCUUCACCUAUCUUAAUAGAGAACUUCGCCAUUAAAUCACCUUCAUCAGUCAUUGUAUCAAAUCCUCCCUGCAAUGUUGGAAACAUAUCUCCUUCAUUGUUCAAAUUUCCGAUCUCAUUAUUGCUACGGCAAAUGCUCGGGUCAAGGCCACCGUAAAGGGACGAUUCAGACAGGUCGUAACCUCCAACUACAUUGGAAAUUGAAUAGCUAGUCCCUCCGACCGCAGGAUAAGCGUAAUGGGCAUUCGGAUCCAUCAUACCAGUGUAAUCAUUUCCAUAUUCAUUAUUACAGUUGUCUAUUUCGAGACCAGUACCACUAGAACUAGCACCAUAGGUAUCCAUACUCAUCAAAUUGGUUUGUGAUUCAUGCGCAAGUGGAGAUUGUUUCUGUUGUUGUUGUUGCGAAUCUAGCGUCUGAUAUGAUGGGAAGGUAUUUGAUUUCACUCCCUCUGACUCUCGAUAUUUCUCCAAAUAAAUCUAAUGGAACAAAAUACAUUCGAAAAGAGAAUUAAUUAAGAUAAUGUCUGAUAGUUUGUGAAAUAUUUUGUAAAAUAUUUUGUUAAUUAUGAUCGAACGAGAUGAACCUUUAGAGGAACGGUAUAUAGCGAAAAAUCGAGACGAUUCAUGGACCAAAGAAGGUCAUCGCCGUUGACUGUUUUACGUUUCUCACUUCGACACUUUUCAGCGGCUUCGCCAGUGAUGAAACUAAUGAACUCCGACACACAUUCCUGAACCGUUUCUUUGGCUUCUUUCGAGAUCUUGGCAUGUGUCGGUAGAGCUCUCUUCAUGAUCCGACUCACAUUUGCAAUUGGAAGAAAUCGAUCAAUUGAAGGUACAUCAUUUCCUGGAUUAAUGUUAGAAGCACUUCUAGUCUGGAUCAUUGGUUUAUUGGUCGCAGAAUCUCCUUCAAUUCCGUUGAAAUCAUCUUUAUAAGUUUCUUCGGGCAUAUUUUAUGAUCGGUAUCUAAAUAAAUUUCUAUUUUUGUGGAAGAAAUUUCUAUCUUUGUCAAUUGACCUAUCUUUAGCCAUCAAUCUUAAUUAUUUAUAUCGAAGGAAUGAAUGAAUAUUACAAAUUAAAUUAACAAUAACAAUAAAAAAACUAUAUUAGUACCAACCAACUAACUAACUGUAUUUUUAACCGACAAAAUUAGUUUCUUUAUUAACUCCCUCUAAUAAAUGAUUAGUUUGGAUAAUUAAGUUACGAUUAGUUUUUUUAAUUAUCAUUAAAGAUGCAAAAUGUUAUAAUUUAUAAAUUUAUAUAUAACUUCUUAAUAUUAUUUACUAUUGACGGUCUAUUUAUAAAAUUUUAAAAAUAUUUGUUAAGUUUUAAAGAAUAAACAAAACUAGAAAUUAAAAAAAGUUUAAAACCAAAAACUAUCGUCGUUAACUCGUUAUUCCCAUUCCCCGCUAUUUCGGUUAGGUUUUAUCUCUUUUUUUUAGGGUUUUCACCCCUCACCCUCACAACGCUCACAGGAAGUCAUGAAUCACAACCUCACAGCGUUCACACUUCACAGCCACAGGUAUUUCUUAUCUUCUUAUUAAUUUCGAUCUCUUCUUUUCUCUUUCUUAAUUUCUUCAUUAGAUCUCUCUAAAUUUUUUGUGGAUCUUUCCAUGUCUAAUGUCUUUUUUUGAACAGAUUAUCUUCCUGACUUCCUCGAUCUGAUCUGUAGAUUAGUUAUAAUGAAUAAUGAUUUGUAGACUGGUUAUAUUUUUUUUAACCAUCAAAAUCCGUGUCGUCUAGUAAAGGACGUAAUGUCAUCAGAACACCGAUGAAAAUAAAAAAAACGUGCUAAAGAUAAUAUGAGAAAUUAAAAUUUCAAAAUAAAAUAAAUAAAAUAUAUACCUAAACACCUGUAUAUGAGAUCUUUGUAUGACACACCAACCAAAUAUUUUUACUAUUGUAAUUUACAUAUUUUAUUAUCAUAUCUUCGAAGUCGUUGUCAACUGUGUUGUAUUUGAUUUUGAAUGAAUGCGUGCCUCCAGAAUCUUCAACAUCCUUGUUUCGUAUCCUAAGACUAAAAUUUUACCAGUUUCUAUUUCUCUAGGAUUUCUCGUCCAUAUUUUAUAACAAUCGUUAAUAUAAUGAUUGUUGACUUCACAACGAAAAUAAGCAAAACCACGACAAUAAUAAUCUAUAUUUUUUUGAAAACUAAAUUGAAUCCAGUUAAGUCGUUCGAGUCGUUAAUGUCAUUCGACAAUUAAAAGUAGUUGACUUAAUUUUUAUUGAAAAUAAAAAAAUAUUUACAAUCUUAUAAUUAAAAUAUAAAUUUAUAAAAUUAAUCAAUUACAAUCAAUAUCGGAAAUAUCUCUAUUCGGUAUUUUAAGCACACUACUNNNNNNNNNNNNNNNNNNNNNNNNNNNNNNNNNNNNNNNNNNNNNNNNNNNNNNNNNNNNNNNNNNNNNNNNNNNNNNNNNNNNNNNNNNNNNNNNNNNNNNNNNNNNNNNNNNNNNNNNNNNNNNNNNNNNNNNNNNNNNNNNNNNNNNNNNNNNNNNNNNNNNNNNNNNNNNNNNNNNNNNNNNNNNNNNNNNNNNNNNNNNNNNNNNNNNNNNNNNNNNNNNNNNNNNNNNNNNNNNNNNNNNNNNNNNUCCCGACCAUUGGAUUAUUGGUUGCAAGCUUCCUUCAAUUCAGUUGUUCACGCCUUCAGAUGUUCCUCUGACAUGGUUUGUGAAAAGAAUUUAUAAGAAUGUUUAAACCUAUUCCCAAAAUUCUUGUCCACCCAUAAAAUAGAAAUUUCAAUGUCCUGUCCACCAAUAGAUUUUUUUUUAGCUAUCAAUAGUUUUCUUUAACUAUCAACCACCUAAUUUUGAUGCAAUAUAGAUAUUAUUGACUAAUAAUCCAAAUUAUGUACUUUGUCGACACUAAGGUGUCAAACGAGCUGAGCUUUGGCUUAUUGAGCUAGGCUCGGGCUCAGCUCGUUAAGGAGUAAUCCAGGCUCGAGCUCGGGCUCAGCUCGUUAAUGAUUUGCCGAUACCGAGCCCUUGCCGAAGUCAUCGAGUCAAGAUUUAUUUGACACCCUAGUCGACGCUAAUCGUUUUGUCCAAUGUCUAUUAUGAAAUUCGGUCAUAUUUUCCGAGGCGGGUAUCGUGGCAAGACAUUCUCGAGUUUGGCCCAGUCUUCAUAGACCGAGACUCACUCGAAACUCGAAAUUUUCUAUGAAAAAUCCGUCUUAAAAUAUAAAUGAAAUUAAUUUAACCAAUUACUCUCUAAUUAAUUUAAAUUCAUCAAUUAACCCAUUUUUAAUUUAUCUAAUUUACCUCUGUUUAUUUUUUAGGGCAGGUUUCCUAUACUGAUUAAAAAAUAAAAUUUUGGAUGACCAAUUCAUAUUGAUUAUAAAAACUAGCUUAUAAAAAUUCAAUACAUUCACUCCAUACAAUAAUUAAUAUUCAAUACAUUAAUUAAUAUUCAAAUUAAAAAUAAACACAUUUAUUUAAUUAACAAUAAAAAUUUCAAGAAAAUUAAUGAUUAUUUCAAUAUCCUACGACGAGGACACAUAUCAUUAAAUAUUUUUAAAAUGACUUCAUUGUCUAUAUUUUUAAAAACAGUUUUUUGAAUAUAUGUUAAUAAACAAUCAUUCAUCAAACUAUCACCAAAUUUAUAUAUUAAAUUUAUUUUAAUAUAUAAAAUAUAAAAUAUAAAAUAUUUUAAUAUAUUAAAUAUUGAGAGUGGUAGAGGGAGUGGGGAAGAGAAUAUAUUAAAUAUUGUGAAAUUUUGUAUAUUAACCCUUGAAAAAUAUUAAUAUAUUGUGAAAAUUGCAUUUAACUCCUUAUAAAAAAAUUAUUACAUACAGGUCCUUAUUUUUUCCCCCAAAAUUCAAAGGGGGCAAUUAUCCUCUCUUGCAGCCCCUGGCUACGCCACUGCGCACCGACAUACAGUGGAUCUGAAAAUUAUCGUAUUUUUUUAUACCAUUUCCUUAAUAUCAUUUGUUUUAACCUAGUCACCCAAUCCAUUGAUCCAAUUUGAGUACCUUCUAGCUAUAUAAGCCUGUAAAUUUUUUAAAAUUUAAUAUCUGAUAUUUAUGAAAUUACAGAAAAAUAAUGAAAAAUUUAAUAAUUAAAACAUAAAUUAUCCUAAAAUAUAAAUGAAGGAUAACCUAAAUCUAUUGAUCUUGAAAGCUCAAUAUAUUAUUCUUAUUCGAUUCAUCUUACAUAUAUAUUCAUUACUUUCCCGGUGAUGGUGGUUGUGGUGGUUCCAUUGUCGGUAACGUAUCAGAAUAGAGAUAAUUUUGAUAUAUCGCCCUACUGAUAUCACCUCCCAUACCUUCAUUUUUAUUUGCUUCAUCUAUCUUACUAGAGAACAUCGCCAUUAAAUCACCUGCUUCUUCAGUCCUGCUAUCACAUCUUUCCUGCAUUGUUGGAAACCUCUCGCCACCAUUCUUCAAACUUCCGAACUCAUUAUUGCUACGGUAAAUGCUCGGGUCAACGCCAGCGUAAAGGAACGAUUCAGACAUGCCAUAAUUACCUCCACCUAGGUUGGAAAUUGAAUAGCUAGUUUCUCCAACCGUAGGAUAAAUGUAAUGGGCAGUUGGAUCCAUCAUACCAGUGUAAUCAUUUCCAUAACCAUUACAGUUUCUUCCAAUCGGUAUAGUAUAUCUAUCGUUGUCUAUUCCGAGACCAGUACCACUAGAACUAGCACAAUUGAUAUCCAUACACAUCCGUUUAAUUGGUGGUUGUUGCN
rnacentral:lncRNA from 1 species